UUACAGGCAAAUCUAAUAGAAUCUUUCUUAUUUCUAACAAGUAUAGAUUUCUAUUUGUUAUAAAGAUGCUAGUCCUUUCAUGAUUAUGUGAUAGGUGGUGCAUGGCCGUUCUUAGUUCGUGGAGUGAUCUGUCUGCUUAAUUGCGUUUCACUAAGGUCCAGUAAUCUAAGGUAUGCUCGUCUACUUAUCUCAUAUGACGCUGAUAGACCCCUCGUAAGAGCGCGUUGUCUAUUGCGUUAAUAUAUGUAACAAGUGACACAUACUGUUGGGAUCUGAAAGCAACGAACGUGACCGCAACGUCUUGUUGCCUUUCUAAUUUAUUCUAAUUCUUUUGUAAUUAGUCUAAUAACAAAGGCUAUUCUUUAAACUAGACGGACCGCUGUUUCUCUUUUAAACCAGAGGAAGGUUGCGGCAAUAACAGGUCUGUGAUGC
rnacentral:rRNA from 1 species